UACGAAGGGAGCUAGCGUUGUUCGGAAUCACUGGGCGUAAAGCGCACGUAGGCGGAUGUGUCAGUCAGGGGUGAAAUCCCGGAGCUCAACUUCGGAACUGCCUCUGAUACAGCACGUCUUGAGUCCGAUAGAGGUGGGUGGAAUUCCUAGUGUAGAGGUGAAAUUCGUAGAUAUUAGGAAGAACACCGGUGGCGAAGGCGGCCCACUGGAGCGGUACUGACGCUGAGGUGCGAAAGCGUGGGGAGCAAACAGG
rnacentral:rRNA from 1 species